UCAGAGCAAGCAUGGAGUCACGGACAUGCUAGCUCAGGAGAGAUUAGUGCGAUAUUUGUCAAGCUUCCUGUCUAUGGCACCAGGACUCACACGCUUAUCCUGGUGGAUGCAGACGACAAUGUUGAGGUCACCGAGACCACGAUGGGGUCAGAAAUCGCUUCCCCGAUUCAUGAUCACAGCAAGAUGAAGUGGGAGACUCGCACAUUCAACUUCAAGUUACAGUGAGAUUCAAUCUCGGUGUGCCUAUCUAGCAGGAUGGGAAGCAGAGGCAUUUGUGAUAUAUUCUAGUGUGAGAUUUUAUUAACAUAAUUUUAUGCAGGUUUUAUGGAGUCAUUAAGGCACCGCAACAAACGUCAGAGUAUAAAAGCACUAGAUUACCGUUCUUGUUGUCGUUAUGUAUAUGCUCUACAAAUAAAUUUAUGUGGACAUAAAGAAGAUUUCAUUGAUUA